UUAUAUUCACGACCUUGUAUCCACUGACUGUCUUGUUAGAUUAACCCAAUAAAUUUCAUUCACUCCGCAUACUCAAUCCUAUAGAUACCUUUUUAAUUCUUCAAUCAUAGACGUAACUUUGAUUUCACAAAACAGUCAAGAGUAAUUACACCUACUUCAUUAAAACUCCAAUUCACUAAUACAGCACUGACUUCAGCAACGAUUGUCUCACUCUUCCCAAAAUCCUAUGAUAAAAAACCCCAAUUCUCUGUCUUUUUUUCUUGCCCAAAGCAUGAAGCUAGCUCUCCGACUCUUAAAAAACUUAUUCUCCC
rnacentral:lncRNA from 1 species